UACGGAGGGGGCAAGCGUUGUCCGGACUUACUGGGCGUAAAGGGUGCGUAGGCGGUUGCAUGCGUCCGCGCUGAAUCCCGAGGCUCAACCUCGGGGCGCGUGCGGAUACGAUGCGACUUGAGGCUCGGAGAGGGUGGGAGAACUCCUGGUGUAGUGGUGAAAUGCGUAGAGAUCAGGAAGAAUACCCGUGGCGCAAGCGCCCACCCUGGCCCGAGACCUGA
rnacentral:rRNA from 1 species